UCCUAUAAUUAAGGACACCCUGAUCUUAGAAGGGGUCUUUCUUUUCCAACUCUGAUUUCAUUAACCACUUCUCCUUACUCUCUCUAACCUCUGAGUUUUCUUCUUCUUGCUCUGGCUUCUCUCUACUUUUCCACCACAUCCCACCGUUGAAAUUUCAAAUAGGUGGUGUUUUCUCGUUCACGGAGUUGAGAGCUUUCCAUUCAUCCUAAAUUCUGUUUUGGACGGGUUGUGUUGAACUUGCUUCUGUGCAAGGGUUACUAUUUUGGGUUUCUUUUAAAGAGUGUUGUGUUUAUAACCACCAAGAUGAAGAAAAGGUGUCCGUGGAGCAAGCGUUGGAAGAUGGUGAUGGGGCAGCUUUGGAAUUCUAGAAUCACAAUUAGUAGAGCUACUUUGAUAAUACUCCAAAAUGGUCAUCUAUGUUUAAGAGACCAAUUGUGACUAUAUUUUUGGAUGACUGUAAUCAAUAGUCUGUUAUAUGUCUCUAACUACUUUCCAAUGUUAUAACCUGAUGACGUUUUUAUUAUAUAUGCAUGUUGUAUA